rnacentral:lncRNA from 1 species
GGGAUGAUCCCCUUGAGCGCUCUCUGGUUCUUCAUCUCUGCACCAAGCACGAAACAAAACAUACUGACAUUAAACCAUUUUGGACACUAAUCAGUAGCUAGCUACAAAAAAGAGACAUACUGUUUGUUGUUUUAAGCAAUGGAUACGGCUUCGAAUGACAUGGUUGCUGUGUGAUACAAUGUGCAGUAAAGAAGAGCCAUACUGACCAUGUAUAGCCCAGAGAAAGAAAUCAACUGAUAAAUAGAUAAACGAACAAAAGCUUAACAGGUCAAUAAGUACAUUCAAAUGAUAAAUAGACUGCCAAAUAGAUAGAUCUAUUCAUAAAUGAAAUUACCGAACAAUUAAAUAGUCGUACAUGAGUAGUGACUUACUGAUAUGCAAGUACGACCUUAGAGAUGCCACAUUACCACCUGCAUAUAAAUGAAAGAUCUUUACACAUCAUUGAAAAGUUAGAUGUGAAAAAAAUCUCAUGGUAAGUUAAGAAUCGCUACUCAUACAAAACACAAGCUCAAAUAAGCAUGUUAGCAACCAAUAAAACAUGACAAACUCAAUGAAGCCACUGUUAGCAGCGUAGUUUUUUUUACAGUAUUAGCAACAUAGUUUCUAUUCUUAGAAGAAAAAAGUAGAAGUGUCAACUCCACCAAGAAACUCCUGCAACUUAUGAGGAUGGUAUUCCAAAGUCAUACCACCAUUUGUCAUAACAUCAUACAUGUUCAAUACUAAUGUCAUGUGAGUGCAGACAGAAUACCCAGUAAAUUUGGGAUCGAAGGGUAAUAACCACAUCAGAUGUUGUGAAUGUACUUAGAUUUCUAAUAUUUAGGAUUGCAAAUACCUUUUGCUCUAGCUUUCCUACAAGCGUCGAUGCGUCCGCGUAAGCCUCUUCCUCCUACAAUUGGUGAUGGUGGCCGUACCACGGAAGUCGCAGCUGGUUGAGGCGGGUAGCUGUUGAAGGCGUAGGACGCGUGGUCGUGGACGGUGUCGGGGUUGAAGCACCUCCCGCCCUGCUGAAUCGUCAAUGGAAAACCAGGUUUCCCGAAGAUCACAAACACAGAUCAGAGACGUGGUCGAUAGAUAUACAUAUUUCCUCAAAUCACAUCAUAGGUCUUCUAAUUUCCAUUGAUGAAUCGAGCACGAAUAUUAAAAACAUGCCUACUUCGCAUCCAAAAUAGGGAGCACACCUAUGAAUCAUGACUCGAGCUCACCAAGUCGAGCCUGAUAUUGGUCAUUAUUGUACUCCGACGAGAGCUCGUAGCACUCCUGCACCUGCGCACGCAAAUAGAUGCCAUCUGAUCAGUAGGAACACACGGCUUAAUAACCAACAAUUUGUUUCAGCUUAUUAAAAACAUAGACAACUGCAUUUUCUAGUUUUCUUAUUUUGAAAUGCAUUUUAAUUUUAUUUCCCCUAUUUUUGUUUCUAAUCAUGGAUGCUACCUGCUGCUCCAACCAAUACAAUGUUCUCAAGCUGAAAAGGAGUUUAGGUGUUCCGAAGAUGCAG